rnacentral:miRNA from 1 species
GGGGUAAAACUGUACGUUAUAUG